AUUGAACGCUGGCGGCAGGCUUAACACAUGCAAGUCGAGCGGAGAGAUGUAGCUUGCUACUGAUCUUAGCGGCGGACGGGUGAGUAAUGCUUAGGAAUCUGCCUAUUAGUGGGGGACAACAUUCCGAAAGGAAUGCUAAUACCGCAUACGCCCUACGGGGGAAAGCAGGGGUUCAUUAGACCUUGCGCUAAUAGAUGAGCCUAAGUCGGAUUAGCUAGUUGGUGGGGUAAAGGCCUACCAAGGCGACGAUCUGUAGCGGGUCUGAGAGGAUGAUCGGCCACCAUGGGACUGAGACACGGCCCAGACUCCUACGGGAGGCAGCAGUGGGGAAUAUUGGACAAUGGGGGGAACCCUGAUCCAGCCAUGCCGCGUGUGUGAAGAAGGCCUUUUGGUUGUAAAGCACUUUAAGCGAGGAGGAGGCUUACCUGGUUAAUACCUGGGAUAAGUGGACGUUACUCGCAGAAUAAGCACCGGCUAACUCUGUGCCAGCCGCCGCCGUAAUAC
rnacentral:rRNA from 1 species